rnacentral:rRNA from 1 species
AGUGAACGCUGGCGGUAGGCCUAACACAUGCAAGUCGAACGGCAGCACAGUAAGAGCUUGCUCUUACGGGUGGCGAGUGGCGGACGGGUGAGGAAUACAUCGGAAUCUACUUUUUCGUGGGUGAUAACGUAGGGAAACUUAUGCUAAUACCGCAUACUAUCUACGGGUGAAAUCAGGGGAUCUUCGGACCCUUCGCGAUUGAUUUAGCCGAUGUCGGAUUAGCUAGUUGGCUGGGUAAAGGCCCACCAAGGCGACGAUCCGUAGCUGGUCUGAGAGGAUGAUCAGCCACACUGGAACUGAGACACGGUCCAGACUCCUACGGGAGGCAGCAGUGGGGAAUAUUGGACAAUGGGCGCAAGCCUGAUCCAGCCAUACCGCGUGGGUGAAGAAGGCCUUCGGGUUGUAAAGCCCUUUUGUUGGGAAAGAAAAGCAGCAGGUUAAUACCCCGCUGUUCUGACGGUACCCAAAGAAUAAGCACCGGCUAACUUCGUG